GGACAGAGGGGCACCACUGAUCCCACAACAGGACGUAACGUGCAGAAGGAAGACGCGGCCGCUGCUGUCCCCACUGGAGC
rnacentral:lncRNA from 1 species